rnacentral:rRNA from 1 species
CCAAUAGCGUAUAUUAAAGUUGUUGCAGUUAAAAAGCUCGUAGUUGAAUUUCGGGAUCAAUAUGUCGGUCGUGCCUCGGUACGUACUGGCGUAAUUGGUUUCUCCCUUCUGAAGAACCUCGAUGUCAUUAAUUUGGUGUCGUGGGGAAUCAGGACUGUUACUUUGAAAAAAUUAGAGUGUUUAAAGCAGGCUCGCGCUUGAAUACAUUAGCAUGGAAUAAUGAAAUAGGACGUUUGAUUCUAUUUUGUUGGUUUCUAGGAUCGACGUAAUGAUUAAUAGGGAUAGUUGGGGGCAUUAGUAUUCAAUUGUCAGAGGUGAAAUUCUUGGAUUUAUUGAAGACUAACUACUGCGAAAGCAUUUGCCAAGGAUGUUUUCAUUAAUCAAGAACGAAAGUUAGGGGAUCGAAGACGAUCAGAUACCGUCGUAGUCUUAACCAUAAACUAUGCCGACUGGGGAUCGGAUGAUGUUAAUUUUUUAAUGACUCAUUCGGCGCCUUACG